UCCCUCGCCGUCCUGCCUUUUUCUCCAGCCUCCUAUCACCUCUUUCUGCUUCUCCGUGCAAAAACCGAGGCGCCACACAGAUCCACAUAUCUCAUACGCUGGGCGGAGAGUGAGCGUUUCUUAUUCGUCUCUGCGGUGCGGCGCGACUUCUGUCCAUGUGGAGCGAGCUGAUGAAUGUGUUGGGCUGUCACCCUCUGAUCAUCUCUGCUCCGAGCGCCUUUGGACACGCGCUGGCUUCUGACUGCCUCCAAUGCGCAUGAGGUCUCUCUCGCCUUCCCUCAGCCUCCCCUCUCUCUCUCAGACUCACAGAUACACAAAGGGAUAAUGCAAACUAUAGAAUAGAUCUGGAUCCUUUGUACAAAUGAACUCUGCAGAGACAAAAACACAUUUUCUUUCUCCCCUGUGGAUCUCAGCUGGUAAAUUCUGUUCUUUGUUCUGGUUAAUGAUGAAAUUUAAGAACACUCAACAAUUUCCAAUAACAUCUGUCAUUCAUCUGGGAGCACGCAUUCAACUAUGUAUGAAAUUCAGUCUAAAUUGCAGAUAAAAUCUGCAGAUUAAUUAGUCGUUUUUUUAUAAUUGGAGUCUCAGGACUUGAUUACCAGAGUAAGAUGCCUGUCCCUGUGUGUGUGUGUGUGUGUGUGUGUGUAUUUGGAAGAAUUAAUGAAGGCCGCUACACUUCUUCUCGCGCCAAGUGAUGGUGUUGGGGCGCUGCACUGAUUGGCGUUGGGCGCUUUCUGGAGCCCCUGACGAUGUCGGAGAAGACCUCAUCUUCCUCGCUGGCGUGCGCUGGGGUUUCCCGACAGGACACAGCUUCACGACACGAGAUCGGGAUUCGAUAAGGAUAAGGCUAAAGACUGACCUAAAUACUUCAGGGUUUUGAUGAUUGGACCGAAAGAGAGAUCAGAGGCGUCCGGCGGGCUCGUCG